rnacentral:rRNA from 1 species
UGGGGAAUUUUGGACAAUGGGCGCAAGCCUGAUCCAGCAAUGCCGCGUGCGGGAAGAAGGCCUUCGGGUUGUAAACCGCUUUUGGCAGGAACGAAACGGUGUCCGCUAAUACCGGGCGCUAAUGACGGUACCUGCAGAAUAAGCACCGGCUAACUACGUGCCAGCAGCCGCGGUAAUACGUAGGGUGCGAGCGUUAAUCGGAAUUACUGGGCGUAAAGCGUGCGCAGGCGGUUGCGUAAGACAGGCGUGAAAUCCCCGGGCUCAACUGGGAAUGGCGCUUGUGACUGCACGGCUGGAGUGCGGCAGAGGGGGAUGGAAUUCCGCGUGUAGCAGUGAAAUGCGUAGAUAUGCGGAGGAACACCGAUGGCGAAGGCAAUCCCCUGGGCCUGACUGAGCUCAUGCACGAAAGCGUGGGGAGCAAACAGGAUUAGAUACCCUGGUAGUCCACGCCCUAAACGAUGUUGACUGGUUGUUGGGUCUUAGGUGACUCAGUAACGAAGCUAACGCGUGAAGUCGACCGCCUGGGGAGUACGGCCGCAAGGUUGAAACUUAAAUGAAUUGA